GGCUAUGGCCAAAUCACCCUGAACGCGCCCAAUCUCUUCUGAUCUAGGAAGCUAAGCAGGGUCGGCCUGGUUAGUACUUGGAUGGGAGGUUACCUACAUAUACCUCUGUAACAC
ensembl:rRNA 5S_rRNA 5S ribosomal RNA